GAUUUUGUUAUUUUUUGUUGUUUAGUGCUAUAUAGGUUUAGUUAUCUUGGUUAGUUAGGUUAGUUAGUUAGUUAGCUUAAUAGAAAGAAUAGGAAGAAGAAGAGGAGGAGGAGGAGGCGAAGAGAGGAAGAGGAGGAGGAGGAGGAGGAGGAGGAGGAGAAGAAGAAGAAGAAGAAGAAGAAGAAGAAGAAGAAGAAGAAGAAGAAGAGGAGAAGAAGA
rnacentral:lncRNA from 1 species